rnacentral:rRNA from 1 species
CAGACGAGGAGCUUGCUCCUCUGACGUUAGCGGCGGACGGGUGAGUAACACGUGGAUAACCUACCUAUAAGACUGGGAUAACUUCGGGAAACCGGAGCUAAUACCGGAUAAUAUAUUGAACCGCAUGGUUCAAUAGUGAAAGACGGAUUUGCUGUCACUUAUAGAUGGAUCCGCGCCGCAUUAGCUAGUUGGUAAGGUAACGGCUUACCAAGGCAACGAUGCGUAGCCGACCUGAGAGGGUGAUCGGCCACACUGGAACUGAGACACGGUCCAGACUCCUACGGGAGGGAGCAGUAGGGAAUCUUCCGCAAUGGGCGAAAGCCUGACGGAGCAACGCCGCGUGAGUGAUGAAGGUCUUCGGAUCGUAAAACUCUGUUAUUAGGGAA